AAACGCACUCGUCGAGUCAACUGUAGUCGCGCCGUAAACACUGUCAGUGUAUCGCGUCGGCACUCGCUCAUUUUCGCUACCAAAAAUCGCAAUAAAUAGGACGCUCGCGUUUGUUAGCUCCCCUAGUGAAGACAAGAGUCAAAUUCUGGCCCCCUAAAGGAACGCGAAACACGAUAAAUCCAUUCAAAAAUCGAAGGCGCGUAGUCGCGGAGUGCGCGGGUUGGCAGCGUUGUGAGCGAGUGCAGUAGGGCUGCCAUUUUCCGUGUGGUAGAGCUUCGCAACGUAUCCUAAAGCCUCCAAAGUGAGGAGUCCUGAAACUGUGAAGCUGCGUGAAAUUCAGCAGGUCCUUCAGGACCCUCUCCCGUGCGAGAGGAUCAAUGAGACGAGGGACGUCCUUGUGAAGACAUCAUAAAGCUGCUGAAGUGCACAUCGAAACUGGACUCCCGAUCAAGAUCUUACUCUCGUUAUGGGAUACAUUAUUUGUGUAGUGUUGAAUCCAAAAAUAUUAUUCUUCGUCCAAUCAGCUGAUCCCUCUGAUAAUUUUAUCAAUCUCUUAGCUGAAUCUUCGAAUUGAUCGUCUGCCUGUCGUGUAACUGAAUUGUCCCAAUCCUGUAAUACCUACGGGUGGAAGAUUCUUUGUGGAUUCGUCUUGAAUUACAUUCUUGAAAAAAAAAAUGACGUUACGGUGUCUGUUCCAAUGACACGUCUCUUCCGGGAAGAGGUUACUCCAAACCUUCCUGAAAUACUUUCCUUAAGGAUGCAACGUUUCACAACAGGAACCCUGAUAAAGUCGUUCACGUGUGCAUCCACCUUUAAUGCCUCAGGCGCAUCGUAUUUCUCGCUAUCAGCUGGGCUCCGUUAUUAUUCAUUUUUGUUUUAUGCUCCGAUGACUGCGUUGCAUUUAUUUGACGAUCGUCUGGAAGUUUUACCAUCUUCGUGAACCGGAUUGUCGUGACUUUCGUCAUCGAGUGAUAAAUUGCAAAACAAGCGCGUGGAUGAAUCGCGUCUAAAUAUUUUUGCACGGGCAGUUCGCGCUUUUGGCUGAAUGGGAUCUGGUUACAAAUUUUACACGUAUUACUCAACGUGGCGUUUCACAAAGAUAAACAGAAAAGGCAAAAUGGCUCGAUGAAAAAUAUUAUUCUGCAUUAUACAUCCAGGUUAUUUUUCUCAAAGAAAAACGUCAUUGAAUUUUCCAGUACAGCAAACGUGACUCGUUCCCGAUCAUCGCGUAGCUAAGCCAGACACUACUUGAUCCAAUAAACACGCUUCCACCUCAAUACUAUUUACUGUCUGCGUCAUGCAUAUUCUUUAUCCGCAUGUAAAUUUGAAACGUCAAUAGGAAAAGAAAUAGAGAAAGAAAAGAACAAUGGCGAUUAUUUUUAUUUAACAAAAGCCGAAUUGAGGCGCCACAGGAAUUUCCAUACGGUAAAACCCGACGGGAGCAGCGAGUGAGAAAGCGUAGAAGCGUCAGGUCCUGCAGAAAAGAAGGAAAAUGAAAAAUUGUUGAGUCCUGUAAAAAGGAAGGGAUGAGCUCAGUGUCGUUAAGGGAAAAGGGAUCGAGGUCGUUGAGGUUACAGAAGUUAACGAUGGCAGUAGAGAAUGUAGGUAUGGCAUCUAGUAAGCGCUCGGAGAAUAUAUAGGGAUUUUAAGUAAGGAUAGGUAACAGACAGUAUAAAGGGUAGGUAGGAAGUUUCCAUGAAACUGCGGUUUAACAUUCCCCCGUAUCUGUCAUAGUGUAAAGCGUAGUAAAUAUCCUCAAUAAUUCCCUAUUGGUCGUCGUACAAGUCUGGUGUAAAAUCGCAUUAUACAUUCAGUACUAUAAACCGUGCUGAUUUCACACCCCAUGAAAACCUUUUAAGGUUAGGUCAGGUUAGCGAGGCUAUCAACCUACGCACAUAGAAACACGAUUAUUCCUGUCGAUAAUUCACCGAAGCUCCCAGUUAUUGCAGAUAGCUGUAAAACGCGGAUUAAAUUAUUCGAAAAAUUUUUUGGCUUUGACACAAUAACAAUUUUUUUUUACCCAUUUAUACUCCGAGGUCAAAAUUUAUUUUUGAAAAAAAUUUUUUUUGCAUAGUUGCCAACAAUCUUCCCGUAGUCCGUAACGAUCCUGCGUGUUAUAGCCUAUAGGUCAAUGCCUCGACGCUUAUGUCAAUGCUGUGAUAAAAAUUGUUGACCAUUGACAAUGACUGCUACGAAAGACGAAUUCCAUUCUACUUAAGUCUGUCUGGGUUUCGAUAAUGGAUAAAUGUUUUUUUUUUUCCCCUAAUUUAUUCCUUCCUAAUCGUGCAUAACGUUCGAGAUACUACCCGGCUCUGCAACCGUUACCUUAUCUCUCUUUGCCUUCACUGUUUUAGUUCUUCCAUUUUGUUAUUUUUCUAUUCCCAUACAAAGUCGAUAACAGCACUGCCAUCUGGCAUUUGCACGAUGCACGACCCAUUGAAGUUGAGUAUACAUAGGUAGGUAUACUAUUUCUGUAUUUAAUAUAAUUAUCGAUUAUUUUGUUUGUAUUGAUUCGUUCGACACCGCUUCUGGACGAUCUAUAUUAAUUAUAUAUCUUUCAUUCAUAGUCCAAUCACUGGAUAAGAAGGUCCCGUGCGAAUCGGAACGAAUAUCGCUGGAAAAUUCUUGUCCGCUGGUAACCCAAUUGCCUUGACCAACAUACAUACCAUACGUGCCUUACGCAAGAGCUUGCCGACUUGCCUUCUGUG